CCUACAACACCUAAAUGCAUAUUUUGAGUCCUUCUGGGCACAGCUGAAGGUGCACCUGGGACACGCUAUGUCACGUGAUCCGAUCUACAUUAAGAAACCACAGCGUGAAACAGUGCAGGAGAAGGGUGACUCUAAUCCUUCCCAGACCCAAGUGGCACGCCUAUGGAACAAGAGACCCAUAGAGAAGUUGGUGGCAUUUACAGAGAAAAUGCACCGCAAAUAGAACUGGGACUUCCGACC